UUUCCCUUAUUGCAGAACUACUGCAUGUAUACAGUGACUGAAAGGACUCAAUUCACUGCAACUGCUGCCUGGCUUUACUUACAACUUUCUUUAAAGGGGGACUUACCUUCUAUCACUCUUGCUAAGAUGACAGUACUCCAGUGACACCACCUCACCUGAAGCUGGGCAGAAUGAAAUCUAAUCUUGGUUGGUGAAUGUAAAGCAAAAAGAGAGAAGGCAGAAUACAGACCAGUA